rnacentral:lncRNA from 1 species
AAACACGAAAUUAGCAAAAAUUGGAAUAAAAAAAAGACACGAAAUUCUCAGAUAAAACCAUAGAAAUAGAAUAAGUGAAAAUUUGCGGACCGCCUCCUGUCUUAUUCAUACCAUUGUUAUCCAUUUUUUUUUGUUUCAAUACAAUUACAAUAAAAAAAACUUAUUGUAUCACAACAAAUUCAAAGAAAGAACCCAUUAUUUGAAUGAAGUGAAGUGCCAAACGAGGAUAAAUGGAUCUAUUUAUCUAUGAUCGAAUUAUAUUUGUUCGAUACACUGUUGUCAAUAUGAUUGUAAAUUUUGAAUAUAAAUGUUGAGAGUUGAGAAAAGAAUAAAGAAUAUAAAAAAGACUACAAAAAAUACAAUGAAAAAAAAGAAUUCAUUUUUUUAUUAAUUAUUAUUAAUAUUUUCUCUUUUUAUAUGUUAUAUGUUAUUUUAUCUUAUUUUAUGUUGUUUUGUAAAUGUUUAAAUGCAAUUACUUCAUUUAUUCACUUGAUCUUUUUUCUCUCUAUUUUCUAUCAAUAAAAUUGGCUCAAUAAAAUCGGGUUUUGUUGUUAUAGAACACGGUAUUCUAGAUUUUAUAGUAGCAAUAUUCUAUAGUAGCAAAGCAAUAAGAAAUACGAAUAAUAAAUUUUUUUAAAAUAAAAGUCUGAAUAGACCAAAAGAGGGGGGAGGAAAUAAUAAAGAAAAAUUUAUACAAAGCUAGAUAUGAAUCAUCCACACCCUCUUUUUUGGAUUUCAUUAAUUGAAUUUUGUUUGAUUAAGACUAAGUUCUGUAAAAACACCUGCCUUCUUUAAAAUAUCAUGAACAGUUGCUGUGGGUUGAGCUCCUUUUUCAAGGAAAUAGAGAAUGGCGGGAACAUUUAAAUAGGUUUGAUUAUUUAUCGGAUCAUAAAAACCCACUUUUCGAAGAUCUCUUCCCUCUCUUCGGGAUCGAACAUCAAUUGCAACGAUUCGAUAAACGGCUCAUUGGGAUAGAUGUAGUUAAAUAAUACCCCCUAGAAACGUCUAAGAAGUUUUCUCCUCGUACGGCUCGAGAAAAAAAUGAUUAAUUAAAAGUUAUGUCUAUGUAUGGAAUUAGAAUGUAUGGAAUUAGAAUGUCAAAAUGAUCCAUAAACCAGCAAAUCAAUUAGACAUUUAACCCCGUCUUUUUUUUCAAAAAAGAAGAAGAAAAAAGCAUUCGUACUCUCAUAACUCAAGUCAAAUAACUCGCAAAAUGCUCAAAAAUAAUCCUUAGGCAUUCCUUUAUUGAGUGGUCUAUAACCCCUUUUUUGUUUGUCUCGCUUAGAAUCUAUUUCGAUUCUUCAUUUUAAUCUAGUUGUUGAGAAAAUGGAAAAGGGUAUUUCCUUGUUCUAGGAUCUUUUAUCUUUGCCUUGAAUCAUUGGGUUUAGACAUUCCUUCGGCGAUAUUUAAUCAUUUCUAAAAUGGCAGCAACAUGCCCUUUUUUCUCUCUCUUCUUUUUCUAUCAAAGAAUCAUAUGAACGAUUAAUUCCCGCAUGAUACACUUUUGAUCGAAAGAGUUUUACCAAUUCCAACAACUUUUCUUUUUGAUUUGAAAAUAGUUGGAAUCAGAUCCUUUCGAUUUUUAUAUCACAAAUAGACUUACGAAGUUGUUCCAACUUAUUGAUUUCCAUUAACUAACCCUAGAUCCUUGCCCCUGAAAAAUGGAUGUUUCUCUUUGAGCUCCAUCCUGUACUAUUUACAUUACAACCCAACAAAAAGACGGAUUAUAAUAGAACAAAGGAUGUCGAGCAAAAAGCACCUUCAUUUCUACAUAACGGAAAGUGGUGGGUUUUGACAUCCACAGCUGAUCAUGUCCUUCAAGUCGCACGUUGCUUUCUACCACAUCGUUUCAAACGAAGUUUUACCAUAACAUUCCUCUAGUUUGGAGCAUUGAUUCAAUUAUGGAAUCAUGAAUAGUCAUUGGUUCAGUCGAUACAUAGUAAUCUAUCUAUACUUUCUAUAUGAAAUCAAUUUCCUUCUAUAUGCUAUAUGAAAUAAAUAAAUAAUUUAGGAAGAAAAAGCCUCAAUAAGAAUUCAAACUACCCCAUAUUGUAUGAUUGUCUGAAUGUAAUAUUUUUUUAUUUUUUUAAACUUUUAUUAUACUUUUCUAUUCUAAUUAAACUUUUCGAUUCUAAUUAAAAAAAUAAAUAAAGAAUAUCAUUAAUAAUAAUAUUACGAAAAUACUAAUAAUAUCACGAAUAUUAUAAAUAACACAAAUAAACUAAUCUUUUUGAAUCUAUCGGGUUCGACGCAGUGGAUAAAUUAGAUAAACCAGCUUGAUAAAUCAAAUUUGAAUUCAAAGCAAUGGAUACUUUGUAAUCCAGUAAUUACUGUCGGUUUGUUGAAUUGCAAUUAAACUCGGCCCAAUCUUUUACUAAAAGGAUUGAGCCGAUUCUAUUGUCUAUAUUUUUUAUAGAUAUAUUUUUAUCUAGAUAUACAAGAUUUUAAAUACAAAAAUAAAAGACUAAACACAACUCAAAUUUUCUCCUGGGUCCAUAAU